ACAAGUACCGUGAGGGAAAGUUGAAAAGCACUUUGGAAAGAGAGUGCAAGAGAUCGUGAAACCAUUAUAAAGGAAACAAACGUUGCUGACGGAUUAGGUGUAUAUUCAUCUGUGGUCUUUGGAUUGCGGUGCUCUUAUAUGCUGUUGCGCUGGUUCUGCUGGUGCUGUUGUUCAAAGUUGAAGAGUGUGGACCGGCUUGUUCGGAUACCUGCUUUGAUGGAUGGGCAAUUGGUGCUGGUGGUGCAUGGGUUGAUGUUGUGUUGGUUUGUGGGGUAUCGUGGUGAGGUCUUUGCGGUAGCACAUGUGUUGCUGUGUUGAUCAAUCUACGUACUUUACGCCUUCUCGUCGACUCUACCGGUGUAUAGUCGGUGAAACGUUUGACCCGUCUUGAAACACGGACCAAGGAGUUUAAAGUAUACGCGAGUCAGAAGGUGGUAAACCUAAUGGCGAAAUGAAAGUGAGCAACGUAUGUUGAUUAAGUGUGAUGGUGGGCCUUGUGUCUACUCGCAACACUGCCCCAUGCCGUAGUUUCGACUUGGUGUGGAGGUUGAGCGUAUGCUUUGAGACCCGAAAGAUGGUGAACUAUGCUCGAACAGGAUGAAGCCAGGGGAAACCCUGGUGGAAGUCCGAAGCGGUUCUGACGUGCAAAUCGAUCGUCUGAUUUGAGUAUAGGGGCGAAAGACUAAUCGAACCAUCUAGUAGCUGGUUCCUUCCGA
rnacentral:rRNA from 1 species